UACGUAGGGUGCAAGCGUUGUCCGGAAUUAUUGGGCGUACAGGGCUCGUAGGCGGUCUGUCACGUCGGGAGUGAAAACUCGGGGCUUAACCCCGAGCCUGCUUCCGAUACGGGCAGACUAGAGGUAUGCAGGGGAGAAUGGAAUUCCUGGUGUAGCGGUGAAAUGCGCAGAUAUCAGGAGGAACACCGGUGGCGAAGGCGGUUCUCUGGGCAUUACCUGACGCUGAGGAGCGAAAGUGUGGGGAGCGAACAGG
rnacentral:rRNA from 1 species